rnacentral:rRNA from 1 species
GACGAACGCUGGCGGCGUGCUUAACACAUGCAAGUCGAACGGAAAGGCCCUGCUUUUGUGGGGUGCUCGAGUGGCGAACGGGUGAGUAACACGUGAGUAACCUGCCCUUGACUUUGGGAUAACUUCAGGAAACUGGGGCUAAUACCGGAUAGGAGCUCCUGCUGCAUGGUGGGGGUUGGAAAGUUUCGGCGGUUGGGGAUGGACUCGCGGCUUAUCAGCUUGUUGGUGAGGUAGUGGCUUACCAAGGCUUUGACGGGUAGCCGGCCUGAGAGGGUGACCGGCCACAUUGGGACUGAGAUACGGCCCAGACUCGUACGGGAGGCAGCGGUGGGGAAUAUUGCACAAUGGGCGGAAGCCUGAUGCAGCAACGCCGCGUGCGGGAUGACGGCCUUCGGGUUGUAAACCGCUUUCGCCUGUGACGAAGCGUGAGUGACGGUAAUGGGUAAAGAAGCACCGGCUAACUACGUG